AUGCUCACUUAGGCAGCACAUAUGCUAACAUUGGAAUGGUACAGAAAAGAUUAGCAUGGCCCUUAUGCAAGGAUGAAAAGCAAAUUUGUGAAGUGUUCCAUACUUUU
ensembl:snRNA U6 U6 spliceosomal RNA